rnacentral:lncRNA from 1 species
GUUGACACACCCCGUCCCGAAGGAGGGCAUGCUGGCCGUCACGUGAGAGUGACGUAACCAUUUGCACAGUACGGAAGCUUUAAUUAUACAACUUCAAAGUUAAUACACCCGAAGGUGCGUCCUAAUUUGGUCCAUUCUGUCAGAACCCCGCUGAAUUCCUCGUAGCCACCACACCUCAGCUAUUCUUUAACCUGGAGGGGCGCAAAACCAAAAUUGAGUGGGUCAGUAAAACAAAUCCUUUCAAAUCCAACUUUUCUUUAAAACAUUGUAACCCCUCUCCGUAAAACUUGUAUACUUUCCCAGAAAUGUAAAAUAUAAAUAUAUAUACAUAUAUUCUCAAUACUUCAAUUCAUUAACUCAACAUUUUUCAGUACAAAUAUGCCAUGCCAUGUCGGAAUUCAACAGUUAAGUAUGAAUGCAUCAACAAUAAUUAUAUCAGGUGCAAGAAGUAAUCAACCGGAUGCCCUUUAAUGGCCCUGUACGGUUGAACCUAGAGCUGAAAAUCUAUCACUCUCACUCUGCCGGAGUCACCUCUGUGACCUGUACGGCCUUCUGCACAUAAGUCGGAACCACCUAAUGUAGUCUGUACGACUUAAUGGUUAAUAUUACGCUCUAGUGCUUUCUCAUCAAUCAUCUGUGCACAUAAUCUAAGGUCACCCACCAGUCGAAAUCUCACUAACACUCUACGACUGGCCCGUCGCACCCACUCCGCGUGGACUGUGCGACCAGCAUCUACUUGGAUCCAAGGCGAGCGUGCGAUGCGGUGAAUACUAUAAGCACUAAACCAUGGUGCAGGAUUUGAGCUCAAUAUACAUCAACAUCAUCAUAACAGUAAUUAAAUACUCACCUGAUACUCACCUGUGCGUCCGCCGCACCAUUCAUUCAUAUGCAUCAUAUCUCAAUUCAUACUUUUCAUAUCAUUUCAUGCAUGGCAAUUCGAUUCACAUUUCUAUAUACUUUUCAUAUACUUUUAUGCAUGGCAUCUCAAUUCACAUUUCAAUAUACUUUUCAUAUAAUUUUAUACAUUGCAUUUAAAGCAUACUUUCAUUAAAUUUCAAUUUCUGGGAAAACGUCAAGUAUAUAUAUAUACGGAAAACAAAACUGCCCACUCACCUGGAGUUCGCCCUACAACUCCCCUAGCACAAUACGCCAAGGCGUCAUGACAAUCGGCGCCUAAAACAAUAAUCAAUUCCAACCUUAGAAUUCAUAUCGAUAGAAUAUAUAACUUAUAUAAAAUACGUCACUACGUAGUUCGAUCCGGAAGAUCCACCACUCAGAUUUUAAAUCCAUAACUUCCAGAGGUCCACAAUAUAUCUCUAGGAUAACCUCCUAAAAUUUCAUUACCAUCCAACGGUCGGAUCUCCGUCAAUUAACAAAACUAGGUGACGGUUAACAUU